rnacentral:lncRNA from 1 species
CAAGCAACUUAGACAAUUUCUAAGGGUUAGGAGGUUUGCUUACAAACAAGAGAUCCGAGCUGAUCUCUUGAACCUCCAUGGGCACGGUUCACUUGAACUUGGCAGGUUUGAGGCUUGGAUUCAAUAUCCAACACCUCUCCUUGGUGUGCCCAUCCCUCUUGCAAUGUUCACACUUCAGACCUCUCCUAUCCCCCUUCUUGUAAGGCGCCUUGUUGGGCUGAGAGCUUCUUUCAGCUUGAGAAGCAAAGGAGAGUGUUUCCUUUGUUCCAAACAACCCGAUUG